CACUUCUAAGGAAGGCAGCAGGCGCGCAAAUUACCCAAUCCUGACUCAGGGAGGUAGUGACAAGAAAUAACAAUAAACCGGCUUAUGCCGGUUUAAUUGGAAUGAGUACAAUUUAAACAUCUUAACGAGGAACAAUUGGAGGGCAAGUCUGGUGCCAGCAGCCGCGGUAAUUCCAGCUCCAAUAGCGUAUACUAAAGUUGUUGCAGUUAAAAAGCUCGUAGUUGGAUUUCUGUGGGGACGGAGCGGCCGGCCGCAACACGCGGUUCGAGCUAGCGCUUUCCCUACAUCCUGCCGCGAACCGUGCUACCAUUAGUUUGGUGGCGCCGGGGAUCGGCUCGAUUACUUUGAGAAAAAUAGAGUGUUCAAAGCAGGCCACACGCCUUGAAUAAGUUAGCAUGGAAUAAUAACUAAGGACUUCGGUUCUAUUUUGUUGGUGUUCGGGACUGAAGUAAUGAUUGAUAGGGACAGUUGGGGCGGUCUGUAUUCCAAAGCGAGAGGUGAAAUUCUUAGACCUUCGGAAGACAAACAGCUGCGAAAGCGUUCCGCAAGGAUGUUCCCUUUGAUCAAGAACGAAAGUUGGGGGAUCGAAGACGAUCAGAUACCGUCGUAGUCUCAACUAUAAACUAUACCAGCUAGGGAUCGGCCAACGUUAUUCUAUACCGACUUGGUCGGCACCUUAUGAGAAAUCAAAGCAUCUGGGUUCCGGGGGGAGUAUGGUCGCAAGGCUGAAACUUAAAGGAAUUGACGGAAGGGCACCACCAGGAGUGAAGCCUGCGGCUUAAUUUGACUCAACACGGGAAAACUUACCAGGUCCGGACAUAGAGAGGAUUGACAGAUUGAUAGCUCUUUCUUGAUUCUGUGGGUGGUGGUGCAUGGCCGUUCUUAGUUGGUGGAGUGAUUUGUCUGGUUAAUUCCGUUAACGAACGAGACCCCAGCCUGCUAAAUAGCGCGUGUGAGCUUUGCUCGCAGCGAGCUUCUUAGAGGGACUAUGAUGCGCGAUAGCACAUGGAAGUUUGGGGCAAUAACAGGUCUGUGAUGCCCUUAGAUGUUCUGGGCCGCACACGGGCUACACUGGCGCCUGCAACGAGCAUACCAGCUGGCCCGAGAGGGUCUUGGCUAAUCUUUUGAACCGGCGCCGUGCUUGGGAUUGACCUUUGCAAUUGUUGGUCAUGCAACGAGGAAUGCCUUGUAAACGCGAGUCAUCAGCUCGCAUUGAAUACGUCCCUGCCCUUUGUACACACCGCCCGUCGCUCCUACCGAUGAAUGUUCCGAUGAAAUUUUCGGAGAGCACCUGUGAACUUGGCUCCGCCUUGCGAACGGGAAGCUCAAAGUCACUUAAAUCUGAACAUUU
rnacentral:rRNA from 1 species